UGGGGAAUAUUGGACAAUGGGGGGAACCCUGAUCCAGCGACGCCGCGUGAGUGAAGAAGUAUUUCGGUAUGUAAAGCUCUAUCAGCAGGGAAGAAAGAAAUGACGGUACCUGACUAAGAAGCCCCGGCUAACUACGUGCCAGCAGCCGCGGUAAUACGUAGGGGGCAAGCGUUAUCCGGAUUUACUGGGUGUAAAGGGAGCGUAGACGGCGAUGCAAGUCUGAAGUGAAAGGCGGGGGCCCAACCCCCGGACUGCUUUGGAAACUGUAUGGCUGGAGUGCAGGAGAGGUAAGUGGAAUUCCUAGUGUAGCGGUGAAAUGCGUAGAUAUUAGGAGGAACACCAGUGGCGAAGGCGGCUUACUGGACUGUAACUGACGUUGAGGCUCGAAAGCGUGGGGAGCAAACAGG
rnacentral:rRNA from 2 species